GGAUUGUGGCUCAGAGGUAGAGCGCUUGCCUAGCACGUGUGAGGCCCUGGGUUCAAUCCUCAGCACCA
rnacentral:tRNA from 1 species